UACAGAGGGUGCAAGCGUUAAUCGGAAUUACUGGGCGUAAAGGGUGCGUAGGUGGCUGCGUAAGUUAGGUGUGAAAUCCCUGGGCUUAACCUGGGAACUGCGCUUAAAACUGCAUAGCUAGAGUACUAUAGAGGGUGGUGGAAUUUCCGGUGUAGCGGUGAAAUGCGUAGAUAUCGGAAGGAACACCAGUGGCGAAGGCGACCACCUGGAUAGAUACUGACACUGAGGGACGAAAGCGUGGGUAGCGAACAGG
rnacentral:rRNA from 1 species